rnacentral:rRNA from 1 species
CCCAGACUCCUACGGGAGGCAGCAGUGGGGGAUAUUGCACAAUGGGGGGAACCCUGAUGCAGCGACGCCGCGUGGGUGAAGGAGCGUUUCGGCGCGUAAAGCCCUAUCGGCAGGGAAGAAGGAGGACGGUACCUGACUAAGAAGCCCCGGCUAACUACGUGCCAGCAGCCGCGGUAAUACGUAGGGGGCAAGCGUUAUCCGGAUUUACUGGGUGUAAAGGGGGCGCAGACGGCAGCGCAAGCCAGGAGUGAAAGCCCGGGGCCCAACCCCGGGACUGCUCUUGGAACUGCGCGGCUGGAGUGCAGGAGGGGCAGGCGGAAUUCCUGGUGUAGCGGUGAAAUGCGUAGAUAUCAGGAGGAACACCGGUGGCGAAGGCGGCCUGCUGGACUGCGACUGACGUUGAGGCCCGAAAGCGUGGGGAGCAAACAGGAUUAGAUACCCGCGUAG